UUUCCGUAGGUGGACCUGCGGAAGGAUCAUUACAGUGUUCUCUGCCCUCACGGGUAGAAACGCCCACCCUUGUGUAUUAUAUCUUUGUUGCUUUUGCAGGCCGCCCUCGGGCACCGGCUCCGGCUGGAUCGCGCCUGCCAGAGGAAACCCAAACUCUGAAUGUUAGUGUCGUCUGAGUACUAUCUAAUAGUUAAAACUUUCAACAACGGAUCUCUUGGUUCUG
rnacentral:misc_RNA from 1 species